UCACUCACCCAAAAAUCCUGCUAAGGCAUAAAGUGGAAAGGGCAGGGAGCAUCAACAAGUCACUAGGGAGUUUCCUGGCUGGUACUUCACUGCGAUGGCAGCUCACAAACUGGCCUUUGCUAUCGUCCUAGCUGCUUCUCUCUGGAUGUUUUCCAGUACCUCCAAUGCUGGCGAGGAAAUCAAUGAGAGCAUCAUUUGUACCAAGGACCUGAUUGAAGUAGACAUCCCAAGUACAUUCUUCCUGUCCAAGAAUCCUCCAAUACUAGUAAGUGCCUACUUCUAUAACUUUAAAUAAGUAAACUCCUAUUAAAAUGAGAUAGAUGCCCAUCAGUAAACUCCUAUUAAAAUGAGAUAGAUGCCCACCAGUGUUAUGGAAACUUGUAAAACAAUGUGCAAGAAAAUGUAUUUAAGAGGGCAGAAACCAGAGCUACCUCAGUGUGGGCUUAGCAUUCACAGUAGGUACUGAAUGCUAGCCGACUUCAAGGGAACCAAAUGGGAGCUGAAACCUUGCACAGAGGCACUCCAUAUGGCAGCAUUUUGUUACAGAUCCCAUUUCUUUUGGUUUUGAAUAUUGGAUGAUUUUAGCCUCUUGUUUCAAGUCCAUAAAUUAGAACAAGGGUGAGUAUAAGAUAGAUCUGAAUCAAAUGGAUAAUGAUUUCUGACACAUGUCAGCAGCAGCUGCAAACUCCAUGAAAGCUUUUUCUCACACACCCUGUUUACUUUCUGAGUUCUCUGUGAAUUUUUAAUAGCAAUAGUUACAAUCUCCAGCUCCAACUUUUUAUGAAUGUAAAUACAGUGAGCCCAUGGUAUCUAAUGAAUUACUGUCUUUUUUAUUGAAGAUUCAAAAGUCCUUCUUAGGGAAAGAAGACAUUCCUAGCAUAUAAUAAUGCUGUACUUUCAGGCAGAAUCUGGAAAUGGCUAGUUAAUGUUUAUCAGUUACACUUCCUUGUACGAUUUUUGACUAGAACAAAUUCUUUGUGUCAUUAGAAAUGUGAAAAAUCAACGCACAUGCAUGCUCAUUCCAUGAUUCAAUGGAGGGUGUUCUAGUUGAAAUUACCAAUCAGAUUUAGUCCAGUGGUUGGAACACUUGGCAAUGCUGAUCCUGCAGUUCUGCAAACUGUAGUUUAUUAAAAUUAUUUUAAUUAUUUUGAAAUCAAGAAGAGUACAGUCUAUAUGUGUGUGUGUGUGUGUGUGUGUAUAUAUAUACCCCAAACUGUAUGGAUUAUGUUUGGAGAUCUUGGAUCUUUAAUUGUAGCGUAAUGCUUUUAAAGGUGAUUCUCAAGAUCUGUUUUCAUGUGAAAUAUCACAUAUAAUGGCUUGA
rnacentral:lncRNA from 1 species